rnacentral:rRNA from 1 species
GAAUCCAGAGAUGGAUUUGUGCCUUCGGGAACUGUGAGACAGGUGCUGCAUGGCUGUCGUCAGCUCGUGUUGUGAAAUGUUGGGUUAAGUCCCGCAACGAGCGCAACCCUUAUCCUUUGUUGCCAGCGGUUAGGCCGGGAACUCAAAGGAGACUGCCAGUGAUAAACUGGAGGAAGGUGGGGAUGACGUCAAGUCAUCAUGGCCCUUACGACCAGGGCUACACACGUGCUACAAUGGCGCAUACAAAGAGAAGCGACCUCGCGAGAGCAAGCGGACCUCAUAAAGUGCGUCGUAGUCCGGAUUGGAGUCUGCAACUCGACUCCAUGAAGUCGGAAUCGCUAGUAAUCGUGGAUCAGAAUGCCACGGUGAAUACGUUCCCGGGCCUUGUACACACCGCCCGUCACACCAUGGGAGUGGGUUGCAAAAGAAGUAGGUAGCUUAACCUUCGGGAGGGCGCUUACCACUUUGUGAUUCAUGACUGGGGUGAAGUCGUAACAAGGUAACCGUAGGGGAACCUGCGGUUGGAUCACCUCCUUACCUUAAAGAAGC